rnacentral:rRNA from 1 species
UACGUAGGUGGCAAGCGUUGUCCGGAAUUAUUGGGCGUAAAGCGCGCGCAGGCGGUCCCUUAAGUCUGAUGUGAAAGCCCACGGCUCAACCGUGGAGGGUCAUUGGAAACUGGGGGACUUGAGUGCAGGAGAGAAGAGUGGAAUUCCACGUGUAGCGGUGAAAUGCGUAGAUACCAGGAGGAACACCGGUGCGAAGGCGGUUUCCUGGCCGAGUACUGACGCUGAGGCACGAAAGCGUGGGGAGCGAACGGG